rnacentral:rRNA from 1 species
AACGAACGCUGGCGGCAUGCCUAACACAUGCAAGUCGAACGAGACCCUCGGGUCUAGUGGCGCACGGGUGCGUAACGCGUGGGAAUCAGCCCUUUGCUUCGGAAUAACAGUUAGAAAUGACUGCUAAUACCGGAUGAUGUCUUCGGACCAAAGAUUUAUCGGCAAAGGAUGAGCCCGCGUAGGAUUAGGGUAGUUGGUGGGGUAAAGGCCUACCAAGCCGACGAUCCUUAGCUGGUCUGAGAGGAUGAUCAGCCACACUGGGACUGAGACACGGCCCAGACUCCUACGGGAGGCAGCAGUGGGAAUAUUGGACAAUGGGCGCAAGCCUGAUCCAGCAAUGCCGCGUGAGUGAUGAAGGCCUGGGUCGUAAAGCUCUUUUACCAGGGAUGAUAAUGACAGUACCUGGAGAAUAAGCUCCGGCUAACUCCGUGCCAGCAGCCGCGGUAAU